CUCCUGCUCUGCUUAUAAAGGGCACUGAGCAGGGAGGGCCAAGUGGCCACAGCUGGGGUGGGAGGAGACUUCAAUUGACCUCCCCUUUUUAAGCUGCUCCAGGAGAGGCAGAAGCCUUUGGCUGCUCCCCUUUGCAGGGGCUUGCUCCUCUCUUGUUUUCACCUGUUGGGGGCCAGAAUCUGCCUUCCUCUUGUUGCAGCCUGGCAGCAAGAGUCAGAGUCCCUACAGCAUCUCGUUGCUUCCUUUGCCCUUUGCUGAGACAGUACAGCUCUGGCCUCUGG